rnacentral:rRNA from 1 species
UGCAGUCGAACGAUGACCCGGAGCUUGCUCCGGUGAUUAGUGGCGAACGGGUGAGUAACACGUGAGUAACCUGCCCUUGACUCUGGGAUAAGCGUUGGAAACGACGUCUAAUACCGGAUAUGACCAGCCUCGGCAUCGAGUGUUGGUGGAAAGAAUUUUGGUCAAGGAUGGACUCGCGGCCUAUCAGGUAGUUGGUGAGGUAAUGGCUCACCAAGCCUACGACGGGUAGCCGGCCUGAGAGGGUGACCGGCCACACUGGGACUGAGACACGGCCCAGACUCCUACGGGAGGCAGCAGUGGGGAAUAUUGCACAAUGGGCGAAAGCCUGAUGCAGCAACGCCGCGUGAGGGACGACGGCCUUCGGGUUGUAAACCUCUUUUAGCAGGGAAGAAGCGAAAGUGACGGUACCUGCAGAAAAAGCACCGGCUAACUACGUGCCAGCA